GACGAACGCUGGCGGCGUGCUUAACACAUGCAAGUCGAACGGACUGUUAGUGAAAGCUUGCUGGAUCUAACAGUUAGUGGCGGACGGGUGAGUAACACGUGAGAACCUAUCCCGACCCGGGGGACAACAGGUGGAAACGCCUGCUAAUACCCCAUAGGCGCAGAGAUGCGUGAAAGGAGCAAUCCGGGGAGGGAGGGGCUCGGGGCCUAUCAGCGAGUAGGGGGGGUAACGGCCCACCUAGGCGAUGACGGGUAGCCGGCCUGAGAGGGCGCAGGGCCACACUGGAACUGAGACACGGUCGCGACUCCUGCGGGAGGCAGCAGUGGGGAAGCAUGGGCAAUGGGGGCAACCCUGACCCAGCGACGCCGCGUGAGGGACGAAAUCCCUUGGGAUGUAAACCUCUGUUGUGCGGGACGAGGGACGUGACGGUACCGCACGAGGAAGCCCCGGCAAACUACGUGCCAGCCGCCGCCGUAA
rnacentral:rRNA from 1 species